rnacentral:rRNA from 1 species
UGCCUAGGAAUCUGCCUGGUAGUGGGGGAUAACGUUCGGAAACGGACGCUAAUACCGCAUACGUCCUACGGGAGAAAGCAGGGGACCUUCGGGCCUUGCGCUAUCAGAUGAGCCUAGGUCGGAUUAGCUAGUUGGUGGGGUAAUGGCUCACCAAGGCUACGAUCCGUAACUGGUCUGAGAGGAUGAUCAGUCACACUGGAACUGAGACACGGUCCAGACUCCUACGGGAGGCAGCAGUGGGGAAUAUUGGACAAUGGGCGAAAGCCUGAUCCAGCCAUGCCGCGUGUGUGAAGAAGGUCUUCGGAUUGUAAAGCACUUUAAGUUGGGAGGAAGGGUUGUAGAUUAAUACUCUGCAAUUUUGACGUUACCGACAGAAUAAGCACCGGCUAACUCUGUGCCAGCAGCCGCGGUAAUACAGAGGGUGCAAGCGUUAAUCGGAAUUACUGGGCGUAAAGCGCGCGUAGGUGGUUUGUUAAGUUGGAUGUGAAAUCCCCGGGCUCAACCUGGGAACUGCAUUCAAAACUGACUGACUAGAGUAUGGUAGAGGGUGGUGGAAUUUCCUGUGUAGCGGUGAAAUGCGUAGAUAUA